CCUACGGGUGGCAGCAGUGGGGAAUAUUGGGCAAUGGGCGCAAGCCUGACCCAGCAACGCCGCGUGAAGGAAGAAGGCCUUCGGGUUGUUAAAUUCCUUUUUCCGGGACGAAGCAAGUGACGGUACCUGAGGAAUAAGCCACGGCUAAAUACGUGCCAGCAGCCGCGGUAAGACGUAGGGGGCAAGCGUUAUCCGGAUUUACUGGGUGUAAAGGGCGAGUAGGCGGGAAAGCAAGGCAGAUGUGAAAACCAUGGGCUCAACCUGUGGCCUGCCUUUGAAACUGUUUUUCUUGAGUACUGGAGAGGCAGACGGAAUGCCUAGUGUAGCGGUGAAAUGCGUAGAUAUUAGGAGGAACCCCAGUGGCGAAGGCGGUCUGCUGGACAGCAACUGACGCUGAGGCGCGAAAGCGUGGGGAGCAAACAGGAUUAGAUACCCUGGUAGUC
rnacentral:rRNA from 1 species